rnacentral:rRNA from 1 species
GAUGAACGCUGGCGGCGUGCCUAAUACAUGCAAGUCGAGCGAACAGAUGAGGAGCUUGCUCCUCUGACGUUAGCGGCGGACGGGUGAGUAACACGUGGAUAACCUACCUAUAAGACUGGGAUAACUUCGGGAAACCGGAGCUAAUACCGGAUAAUAUAUUGAACCGCAUGGUUCAAUAGUGAAAGACGGUUUUGCUGUCACUUAUAGAUGGAUCCGCGCCGCAUUAGCUAGUUGGUAAGGUAACGGCUUACCAAGGCAACGAUACGUAGCCGACCUGAGAGGGUGAUCGGCCACACUGGAACUGAGACACGGUCCAGACUCCUACGGGAGGCAGCAGUAGGGAAUCUUCCGCAAUGGGCGAAAGCCUGACGGAGCAACGCCGCGUGAGUGAUGAAGGUCUUCGGAUCGUAAAACUCUGUUAUUGGGGAAGAACAAAUGUGUAAGUAACUAUGCACGUCUUGACGGUACCUAAUCAGAAAGCCACGGCUAACUACGUG